GUGACAGCCUCAGCUGCGACAAGGGAGAGAAAACAGAAAGACCUGGGAAAGUGCAAGGAUGAAGCAAUUAAGUUUGAGAAAUGUGAUGUGAGGUUUAGGAAAGGUGGAUUUUAGCCCCAACAGACUUUUAGCUAGACACGGACCUAAUACCUUGAGACUUCAUUGUUCCCAUUAAAGAAAAAAUUAUCUUCUGACUUCCUAGGGGUUUGGGGAUCCCAGAUAUCAAAAGAUUUAAACCACUUAGGAGGUUUCCAUUGGAAGGAGAAGACUGUCUUUAGCCCACUGCAUCCCCUCAAUGCCAUCCCAAGCUUUCUCUGUGCCAGGGACUGGAUGCGCACUAAAAUAUGAACCUGUGUGUGGACUUCUUUCUUAGGAGCCUUUGCACCAGCACAAGAAAGAGACAGAGACAGUUACAGCAAGACUCAAGCACGCAUAUCUUGAUGGACUCCAAAAUGCUCUUCCCAAUUCCUUCUCUGCGGCUCAUUGUUCAUCCUCUAUUUGCGUUGGUAUGCCAGUCAUUGCUGACACUUCGGUGGAUGACUUGGAAGUGAUUUUAAAAAAAUUAUUACAUCAAUGUCAGUAUGACAGACUUUGCCAGUUCAAAUGUGUACUGCCUUGGAAGUGGCAUUGCAUGAGGAAAAAUUAUUUUCUAACAAAAAUAGGAAUAAAAUUCAAAAUUAUAUAUAAAAAUCUAAAAUGAAAAUGACAGAACCUGUAGUAACCUCUGCAUGAUGUAAAGGUGGUUGCAAUAAAAAUUGAGAGGAAAACUGAAAA